rfam:Ictidomys tridecemlineatus contig000771, whole genome shotgun sequence.
UGGGUUGUAGCUCUGUGGUAGAGUGCUUGCCUAGCAUGCAUGAGGCACUGGGUUUGAUCCCUGGCAACACAU